rnacentral:rRNA from 1 species
AGAGUUUGAUCCCGGCUCAGAACGAACGCUGGCGGCGUGCUUAACACAUGCAAGUCGAAACGCGAAAAGGGACUUCGGUCCCGAGUAGAGUGGCGCACGGGUGAGUAACGCGUAAGUAAUCUACCCCUGUAUCUGGAAUAACCCACCGAAAGGUGAGCUAAUACCGGAUACGUUUAUCUUGAUGCGAAUGAUGAUAAAGAAAGGUGGCCUCUUCAUGAAAGCUACUGUACAGGGACGAGCUUGCGUACCAUUAGCUAGUUGGUAGGGUAAUGGCCUACCAAGGCGACGGAUGGUUAGCGGGUCUGAGAGGAUGAUCCGCCACACUGGAACUGGAACACGGACCAGACUCCUACGGGAGGCAGCAGUGAGGAAUAUUGCGCAAUGGGGGCAACCCUGACGCAGCGACGCCGCGUGGAUGAUGAAGGCCCUUGGGUCGUAAAAUCCUGUCAGAUGGAAAGAAGUGCAUAGUGGGUUAAUACCGCUAUGUUUGACGGUACCAUCGAAGGAAGCACCGGCUAACUCCGUGCCAGCCGCCGCGGUAAUA